AUGCCACGGUGAAUACGUUCCCGGGCCUUGUACACACCGCCCGUCACACCACGAGAGUUGGUAACACCCGAAGUCGGUGGAGUAACCUUUUGGAGCUAGCCGCCGAAGGUGGGACCAAUGAUUGGGGUGAAGUCGUAACAAGGUAGCCGUAUCGGAAGGUGCGGCUGGAUCACCUCCUUUCU
rnacentral:rRNA from 1 species